AGGGUGAUAGUCCCGUACACCAAAAUGCACAGGCUGUGAACUCGAAGAGUAGGGCGGGACACGUGGUAUCCUGUCUGAAUAUGGGGGGACCAUCCUCCAAGGCUAAAUACUCCUGACUGACCGAUAGUGAACCAGUACCGUGAGGGAAAGGCGAAAAGAACCCCGGCGAGGGGAGUGAAAAAGAACCUGAAACCGUGUACGUACAAGCAGUGGGAGCACCUUCGGGUGUGACUGCGUACCUUUUGUAUAAUGGGUCAGCGACUUAUAUUCUGUAGCAAGGUUAACCGUAUAGGGGAGCCGCAGGGAAACCGAGUCUUAACUGGGCGUUAAGUUGCAGGGUAUAGACCCGAAACCCGGUGAUCUAGCCAUGGGCAGGUUGAAGGUUGGGUAACACUAACUGGAGGACCGAACCGACUAAUGUUGAAAAAUUAGCGGAUGACUUGUGGCUGGGGGUGAAAGGCCAAUCAAACCGGGAGAUAGCUGGUUCUCCCCGAAAGCUAUUUAGGUAGCGCCUCGUGAACUCAUCUUCGGGGGUAGAGCACUGUUUCGGCUAGGGGGUCAUCCCGACUUACCAACCCGAUGCAAACUACGAAUACCGAAGAAUGUUAUCACGGGAGACACACGGCGGGUGCUAACGUCCGUCGUGAAGAGGGAAACAACCCAGACCGCCAGCUAAGGUCCCAAAGUCAUGGUUAAGUGGGAAACGAUGUGGGAAGGCACAGACAGCCAGGAUGUUGGCUUAGAAGCAGCCAUCAUUUAAAGAAAGCGUAAUAGCUCACUGGUCGAGUCGGCCUGCGCGGAAGAUGUAACGGGGCUAAACCAUGCACCGAAGCUGCGGCAGCGACACUAUGUGUUGUUGGGUAGGGGAGCGUUCUGUAAGCCUGCGAAGGUGUGCUGUGAGGCAUGCUGGAGGUAUCAGAAGUGCGAAUGCUGACAUAAGUAACGAUAAAGCGGGUGAAAAGCCCGCUCGCCGGAAGACCAAGGGUUCCUGUCCAACGUUAAUCGGGGCAGGGUGAGUCGACCCCUAAGGCGAGGCCGAAAGGCGUAGUCGAUGGGAAACAGGUUAAUAUUCCUGUACUUGGUGUUACUGCGAAGGGGGGACGGAGAAGGCUAUGUUAGCCGGGCGACGGUUGUCCCGGUUUAAGCAUGUAGGCUGAUUGUCCAGGCAAAUCCGGAUAAUCAAGGCUGAGGUGUGAUGACGAGGCACUACGGUGCUGAAGUAACAAAUGCCCUGCUUCCAGGAAAAGCCUCUAAGCAUCAGGUAACAUUAAAUCGUACCCCAAACCGACACAGGUGGUCAGGUAGAGAAUACCAAGGCGCUUGAGAGAACUCGGGUGAAGGAACUAGGCAAAAUGGUGCCGUAACUUCGGGAGAAGGCACGCUGGUGUGUAGGUGAAGUCCCUGCGGAUGGAGCUGAGACCAGUCGAAGAUACCAGCUGGCUGCAACUGUUUAUUAAAAACACAGCACUGUGCAAACACGAAAGUGGACGUAUACGGUGUGACGCCUGCCCGGUGCCGGAAGGUUAAUUGAUGGGGUUAUCCGUAAGGAGAAGCUCUUGAUCGAAGCCCCGGUAAACGGCGGCCGUAACUAUAACGGUCCUAAGGUAGCGAAAUUCCUUGUCGGGUAAGUUCCGACCUGCACGAAUGGCGUAAUGAUGGCCAGGCUGUCUCCACCCGAGACUCAGUGAAAUUGAACUCGCUGUGAAGAUGCAGUGUACCCGCGGCAAGACGGAAAGACCCCGUGAACCUUUACUAUAGCUUGACACUGAACAUUGAGCCUUGAUGUGUAGGAUAGGUGGGAGGCUUUGAAGCGUGGACGCCAGUCUGCGUGGAGCCAACCUUGAAAUACCACCCUUUAAUGUUUGAUGUUCUAACGUUGGCCCCUGACCGGGGUUGCGGACAGUGUCUGGUGGGUAGUUUGACUGGGGCGGUCUCCUCCCAAAGCGUAACGGAGGAGCACGAAGGUUAGCUAAUCCUGGUCGGACAUCAGGAGGUUAGUGCAAUGGCAUAAGCUAGCUUGACUGCGAGCGUGACGGCGCGAGCAGGUGCGAAAGCAGGUCAUAGUGAUCCGGUGGUUCUGAAUGGAAGGGCCAUCGCUCAACGGAUAAAAGGUACUCCGGGGAUAACAGGCUGAUACCGCCCAAGAGUUCAUAUCGACGGCGGUGUUUGGCACCUCGAUGUCGGCUCAUCACAUCCUGGGGCUGAAGUAGGUCCCAAGGGUAUGGCUGUUCGCCAUUUAAAGUGGUACGCGAGCUGGGUUUAGAACGUCGUGAGACAGUUCGGUCCCUAUCUGCCGUGGGCGCUGGAGAAUUGAGGGGGGCUGCUCCUAGUACGAGAGGACCGGAGUGGACGCAUCACUGGUGUUCGGGUUGUCAUGCCAAUGGCACUGCCCGGUAGCUAAAUGCGGAAGAGAUAAGUGCUGAAAGCAUCUAAGCACGAAACUUGCCCCGAGAUGAGUUCUCCCUGAGACUUUAAGUCUCCUGAAGGAACGUUAAAGACGAUGACGUUGAUAGGCCGGGUGUGUAAGCGCAGCGAUGCGUUGAGCUAACCGGUACUAAUGAACCGUGAGGCUUAACCUU
rnacentral:rRNA from 1 species